rnacentral:lncRNA from 1 species
AGGGAGCAAAGGUUCUUGCUGAGACGGAGGAAGGAAAUAAUGGUUCUAUCUUUUAUUGGAGAUUACAUCUGGCCCUCAGAGCUGAGGGAAUACAGAAGCAGGUUGAGUACAAGAUAGAUGAUGAAGGAAAGGAGACAACAGAAUCCCAACAGGAUCCACACUGGGCAUCUGCGCCCCUUAGUUGGGUGACCACGGAUGGAGUGCAUGACAUGCAUGGGUCUGUCUGGCCCAGAAGAAUCAAAUCAAGGUGUGCGGUCUUUGCAGCACACCCUCCGAUAGUAUGCAAGAGGGACCCAGAUGCUGCGAUGACGGAGCAUUCACAUCACCCACCAGGAUAGCCGCGAAUGACUGUGAAUACCAGGACUCUCUCUGGAGCCCAAUCUCCCCGUGCCAAACUGCUGCUGCUGCUGCCAGCACCCCAGAAGUUUGUGGAGGACAGAGGAGCCAUGAAUUUCCACCAGUGGGGCUUUUAUAGGAACCACUCCACUCCUGGCUUAGAUACCAAAGAAACUUCUGGUCAAAGUCUUUUCAAAAAACUGCCAACUGAAAUCGGGGUCUCCCGUGAGCAUGCGUCCUACAGUAGUACUGUUGCCAUGUCCCUUUGACAUCCACUAGACUCCAAGCACCUGGUCUCUUUUCAUCCCAACACCCAGGGGAUACACAGAAGCCAAUUCCAACAUGGAGACUGCAACAUGAAUGUACAGGCAUCAGUGAGCACACAGGGACUUUCCUUACUAGAGAUAUGCUGGCACUGUUCACACGGGACCACCUAUGUGCAUAGUCAGGCCAUGAGGGCUGCUCACAGUACGCUCCAGGUCACCUGAAACCUCCAGGCACUCUCUCUGAUAAGCACUGUAGGGCUCUGCUGUGCUGUCUGUCUGAGUGUCGUUCAUGACUUAAAAGAUACAACUACAUUUUUAGGCUAAAUUACAUGUAGUCUACUUCAGCCUGACCCCAGAAUCUACCAAAGACCGCCAUUCCAGGGACAAUCACAAAGAUGUCAUCCAAGCUGACCUGCGCCACUAAUUUAUAUUUCCUAUGGCCUGAUUUUGUACUCGGUAUUUAUAUUAGGCACUAAAUGUUCGUGUUUCCUUUAA